AGAAACUUGGUUCCCCCGACCCAGCUUCCUCUUGGCACACACUUCCUCUUAAAUGUCUGCAGAUGUGGUCAGGUUGGAGGGGUGAGUUAUUUGAUCCAGUUGCAGUUGAUGGAGUGGAGUGGAUGGGUCUGCUUCUCCAAUCUGACAUUACUCAUCCCUUGGCGCUAUUAAAAAUAAGUCUCCUCAGCAAAGGAUAGGGCAUAGGGAAAAGAUGCAGAUAUCUGCAGCUGGUAUUGC